AUGGUAUGACAAUACCAGCAUUACAUUACCACCAAUACUGUUCCCCAGCAUCUUUAGAUAGGGACAGGGAAAGACCCGAGCCUGAAGCCUUGGAGAAUGGUUGUAGAGAGCAUAGAUGCCUCAACUUAGCUUGAGACGACUUCCUAUUCUCACCUGUUUUUAUACAUGUUCAUCUGUGAAAUUGAAGAUUCUAACAAACCCUGUAGAGAUGAUGUUAGCUUCAAAGUAAACCAGAGCAAAAUAGUGUGCUUUUGUAUAUUUAGUGUAAUGUUAACGGUAUUUAAUCCAGUUUUGUAAUACAGAUGGACAUACUUAUUUGGAUGCACAAAGUGAUCAAACUCCUGCUCUUAAUUCCUGACUUUCUCCUAAGUGCUACAGAAAUUGGCAUGUCUCUCUCUCCUCUCUUCUUCCCCUCCCACUGUCAUUCCUCUGCACCUCACGAAAAUAUUCAUUACAAAGCUUAACAGUUUGCUUCCUUCCUUCCUGGGCACUGCCAGUUUCUUGAACUGUGGCAUCACUACCCACAAAGUUUAUUUGACCACACCAGGCUGUCUGACCCAGCAGUUCCCUCUGUGCUUUGCCUGUUGACCACAAAGAAUCUUACGCAUUUCAGCAUUUGCUGAAUACAGUAAUUUUUAUUUCCAGCUCAACCAGUUUAUGGGGGGGGGGGGCAAUGACGGAAGGCAACGUGUAUUCCGUGCUCCAAGAUGAGCUGACUCAUCACUUGGCAUAAGGCAAAUUCUUCAUUAGUGUGCCUGCUGGUACUUGACAGGGUUAACUAAUGCAGGAUGUCUGCUGUUGCACAAGUGCUACGUGUUUCGAGCAGCAAAGUGUAUGCGCUGCCCAGGUAUAGCCGUCUGUAUUCUUAUAAGACUGGGAGCUGUGUGGGCAACUGGCUGCUUUAUAUUUUGGCUGUGAACCAGUUCUGCCACUUGUUCAAGCUCCUCCCUGAAGGACUGAGGAACACAAGGAGCUGCCUUCUACUGAAUCUGACCCUUGGUCCCUCUGGCUCAUGUGGACAGGCAGGGGCUAUCCAGGAUCUCACACAGGGCUCUCCCCAGCCCUGCCAGGACAUGCUAUUGGGGAUCAAGCCUGGGACCUGCGUGCAAAGUAGACACUCUAGUUGAGAAUGGCCAAGAUCCAUUCUGUUUCCAGUGGUGCCCAUCCAGCUUCCAAGCCAGCCAUGAAUGUGAAGCCAUAAUAGCAUUUAGAGAAGAACUAAUUUGGAGGAGCAGAGGGGUGGCAAAGGCUACUGUGGGGAGAUUUAAUCUUUGCUGUCUAGCAGGCAGUCCUAAAUGGUGGUUCAUGGAGAUAAGCUUCAUUUAGGUGGUUAAAAGAGUGACUGCAGAUUUGUGGUUGAAGAAGGGAUGUUUUGCCUCCUGAGUUGGAGGCAGGAAGCCUCUGAAUACCAGCUGCUGGCCAUCAGAAGUGAGGGAGGAGAGUGCUGUUGGCCUCGGGUUCUACUUGUGGGCUUCCCGUGGGCAUCUGGUGGACUACUGUGAAAACAGGAUGUUGAGCUAGAUGGGCGAUUGGGUGAUGGACCCAGCAGCCUCUUAUUAUUAUAGAAUGGCACUGAAUGGCCUUCAUAUUGCUCAUUUAAAUAAGGGGGAAUCCAAAUGACUAGUUCUUAAUUAAGAAAAAAAUAAAGGCUUGGGGUGGGGUGAGGCUGAGGUCUAUUUAGGAGCCAUCAUGUCUGCUUUGUACCUUAUUCCUGUAUAUGUGGAAUCUACCUGUGGUCACUCAAUAGUAAGGAAAGGCAUGUGCACUGUACAUAUUUAGAGGCAUGUCUCUUUGUUAUAACUUCAUGGAUUUGAGGACUUAGCCCUAUAUGGAAAGCACAUUCAGAGGCUGAGACGUGGCAGACAUAAAGCCCUGAGGGUAACAAGGACUCCUGGCUAUCCAAGAUGCCUCCUGAAAUGUUCAGUAGUAACAGAUUGCUGGUGUGCAAGAACAAACUUAGAGGUGGGAAGACUCUCCAAGGAGGUCAGAUAGACAGUUACUUGAAGUAUUGCAAUAAAAUGAAAUC